rnacentral:rRNA from 1 species
UACAGAGGUGGCAAGCGUUGUUCGGAAUUACUGGGCGUAAAGGGCGCGUAGGCGGCCUUCUAAGUCGGACGUGAAAUCCCCAGGCUUAACUUGGGAACUGCGUCUGAUACUGGGAGGCUUGAGUGCGGGAGAGGGAUGUGGAAUUCCAGGUGUAGCGGUGAAAUGCGUAGAGAUGUGGAGGAACACCGAUGGCGAAGGCAGCCUUCUGGGCCAAUACUGACGCUGAGGAGCGAAAGCGUGGGGAGCGAACAGG